CGCUGGCGGCGUGCUUAACACAUGCAAGUCGAACGAGAAGAGAUGAGAAGCUUGCUUCUAUUGAUUCGAGUGGCAAACGGGUGAGUAACGCGUAAGCAACCUGCCCUUCAGAUGGGGACAACAGCUGGAAACGGCUGCUAAUACCGAAUACGUUCUUUCUGCCGCAUGACAGAGGGAAGAAAGGGAGGCUCUUCGGAGCUUUCGCUGAAGGAGGGGCUUGCGUCUGAUUAGCUAGUUGGAGGGGUAACGGCCCACCAAGGCGACGAUCAGUAGCCGGUCUGAGAGGAUGAACGGCCACAUUGGGACUGAGACACGGCCCAGACUCCUACGGGAGGCAGCAGUGGGGAAUAUUGCACAAUGGGGGAAACCCUGAUGCAGCAACGCCGCGUGAGUGAUGACGGUCUUCGGAUUGUAAAGCUCUGUCUUUAGGGACGAUAAUGACGGUACCUAAGGAGGAAGCCACGGCUAACUACGUG
rnacentral:rRNA from 1 species